AACCUGCCCAUGAGAAAGGUGGAUGUACUCCUGCCCAUCAAGGUAGAGAAAGGCCCCACGCUGCACAUCCACCUCCGUGCCACUGUGAUUCAGCUGCUGCUCAGCCUCUCCAGGAACAGACUCCAGUUCCCCCAUGUCCAGGUUGGGCAGUGCUGGAGUGAAACAGUCCGGCUUUACAACCGGUUCAGCGCCCCUGUGAAUGGUUCCUCACUGUCAACAAACCUUCCAAGAAGGUGGACAAACGUUUGACACCGGCUGUGCGUCAGAAGGAGCUCCAGGCUGUGAAGGAUGAUUCCCGUGUCUUUCAGUGGAAGGCCCGGGAGGGAACCCUCUAUGGUAGAGAGUGAUGUGACCUGCAGAUCCAGUUUUCACCCCUGGAAGAGAAGUCCUACAAAACCGAGCUGAAGAUCAACAUUUGUGGGAACAGCCAGCUGCUCGUGCUGCACAUCUCAGGACAGGGUCUGGAGCCACAACUGGAGUUCAGCCCCGCAGAGAUCAAGCUGGGAGCGGUGCUGCCGUGCAGCCCUGAGCUGGAGAGGACAGUGGUGGUGAAGAACCCCUGCGAGUUCCCCACUGAAUUUUACUCCCUGGAGUUUGAUGAGGAGUACCGUGAGGAGGAGAAGAUCCUGCGGACGCUGCAGGAGUUUGGAGACCGGAUGGCCGUGGUGAUGCCUCCACGCGCUGUGGGUGAGAAGCUGCCCCCAGAGGUGCUGGAAUAUAUGAAAAAUGGAAGAAGAUGGAGGCUCUGGGUCGAGAGAUUAUGUCCAAGCGCAAGGAAGAAUCAGGGCAGGACAAUGCAGCGCUACAAGAGAGCAUCAGGUUGUUGAAGGACAUGGUGGAUGAGUGUGACAGGCCCAUCCGUCAGGCCGUCAGGCGCUACCUCGACACCAAUCCCGUUUUAGAAGAGCUCAAAGCCCAAAUGCCCAGAGGGAUUGCCAUCAUCAUCUAUGGGACACCCCGGACAGGAAAGUCAAGCGCGGCAGCCGCCCUGUCCAAGUAUUACGGUGCCACCUGCUUGUCCCUGGACGAGGUGGUGACAAAAGCCAUGUCGGACGAGCGCAGCUCGGCGGGGCGCCGGGCCCGGGAGCUGUGCGUCGAGGCUGCCCGUCAGCGAAGAGCCAUGAGGGAACAGAUGCCGGGUAAAAAGGGUACUGAGGCCAAGAAAACUGAGCCCAGCCCUGGGGACAAAGCCAACCAGAAGACCCUGAGUGCUGGACACCAUAGCGCUUCAUCAACCAAGGAUAAGGCAUCUGACAAACCCCAGAUGGCAGCCGUUUCCUGCGCCACAGCGACUGACCAUCCUCACCAGGACGGGGAGAAAGGAGAAAAAGAGGAAGUGUUGGAGCUGUGUGCUGCCCGAGGAAUUGCUGGUGGAAAUCAUCUCUGAACGGCUGCAGCUGAGUGACUGCUACAAGGGAGUGGUGUUUGAUGGCCUGGAGACCCUCUUUGCGAGCAGCCUGGCAUCUUCUCUCCUGUGCGUGCUCAAAGCUGUCAGCAAUCGCCCUCAUAUCCGCGUUGUGAACAUCUUCCAGGAUUCUGAGUUUUGGAAAGGCAGGCAGAUAGCUGCAAGAGAGAGGAGGGCAGCUAAAAAACAGCAGAAAGCACGGGAGAAGGAAGAAGCUGCCCGGAGAGAGGAAGAACGUCUCUGGGAUGUGGAUGUGGAUGAGUACGAAGCCCUCUCUGAGAAGCAGAAAGCUCUGCUUGAUUACAAAAUAGAACAAAUCAAGCGUGAGUGGAAGGAGAGAAGGGAGCUGGAGCAGCUGGCUCGAGAGCAUAAGGAAAGCAAAAAGGUGUCAUCACGAGCCUCAGAGAAGCAAGAUAAGCUGCAGAAGAAGAAGAAUGGCCGCUCGGUGAAGUUUAAGGUACCCGCAAAAGAGCAGCAGGGGGAAACCAAAAAACCAGAGGUCCAGAGGAAGAGCAAAAAAACCAGCAGCCAAAAAACAGCAGCAGGAAACCAAAAGCCAAGUGGUUCCCAGCAAGCCCAAAAAAACAUCAGCAAAACAACAGCAACAAGAAACCAAAAUCCCAGAGGUGCUGAGUAAGCAGGACAGGAUCUUGGACCUGAGGUUUAAGAUCUAUUAGUC